CGGGCUGUGGCGCAGCUUGGUAGCGCGUCUGCUUUGGGAGCAGAAUGUCGCAGGUUCAAAUCCUGUCAGCCCGACAA
rnacentral:tRNA from 2 species